rnacentral:rRNA from 1 species
GACGAAGGAUGCAAGCGUUAUCCGGAUUCAUUGGGUUUAAAGGGAGCGUAGGUGGCCUUAUAAGUCAGUGGUGAAAUCUCUCAGCUUAACUGAGAAAUUGCCAUUGAUACUGUAGGGCUUGAGUACAGAUGCCGUUGGCGGAAUAUGACAUGUAGUGGUGAAAUACAUAGAGGUGUCAUAGAACACCGAUUGCGAAGGCAGCUGACGAAACUGUAACUGACACUGAGGCUCGAAAGUGCGGGGAUCAAACAGG